UACGUAGGGUGCGAGCGUUAAUCGGAAUUACUGGGCGUAAAGCGUGCGCAGGCGGUUCGUUAAGACAGAUGUGAAAUCCCCGGGCUCAACCUGGGAACUGCAUUUGUGACUGCAUCGCUGGAGUGCGGCAGAGGGGGAUGGAAUUCCGCGUGUAGCAGUGAAAUGCGUAGAUAUGCGGAGGAACACCGAUGGCGAAGGCAAUCCCCUGGGCCUGCACUGACGCUCAUGCACGAAAGCGUGGGGAGCAAACAGG
rnacentral:rRNA from 1 species